rnacentral:rRNA from 1 species
GACGAACGCUGGCGGCGUGCUUAACACAUGCAAGUCGAACGGAAAGGCCCUGCUUUUGUGGGGUGCUCGAGUGGCGAACGGGUGAGUAACACGUGAGUAACCUGCCCUUGACUUUGGGAUAACUUCAGGAAACUGGGGCUAAUACCGGAUAGGAGCUCCUGCUGCAUGGUGGGGGUUGGAAAGUUUCGGCGGUUGGGGAUGGACUCGCGGCUUAUCAGCUUGUUGGUGGGGGAGUGGCUUACCAAGGCUUUGACGGGUAGCCGGCCUGGGAGGGUGACCGGCCACCUUGGGACUGAGGUACGGCCCAGACUCCUACGGGAGGCAGCAGUGGGGAAUAUUGCACAAUGGGCGGAAGCCUGAUGCAGCAACGCCGCGUGCGGGAUGACGGCCUUCGGGUUGUAAACCGCUUUCGCCUGUGACGAAGCGUGAGUGACGGUAAUGGGUAAAGAAGCACCGGCUAACUACGUG